AACUCUGUAUAUGAUGGCAAAAAGGUGUCUCUUCGAGAAUUUGUGAUUUUAAAGAAUAUUAAAAUAAAUAUUUAAGUCUUGAAAAUAAGGGAAAUACAUAAAGUUUAAAGUCCAAGUAAUUUGUUGGUAUUCGCAAUGCCCAAUAAUGGAAACGAAGCUUAUAACUCUAGCAAUGAUGAAACCGCAAAUAAGCGCCGCAAAUAUGCAGUCACUUCUCGUCAUAAAAAAUCGAAGAAACAUAAAAAACAUAAGAAAUCUAGCAAAAAUGAUUGCUCACAUAAAAAACAUAAGAAAACAAAAAGAAGCCAUCGUCAUUCAACAUGCUCCUCUUUCGUUGAUACGGACGCGACUCACCCUAAAAAGCGAAGUGGCGCUUUAAAUGAUAAAUUUACGGAAAUAAUGGCGAAAGUGAAAAACGAUAAUAGUAGCGCAUUGAAUUUGGAACACAAUGCAAAAACAAACAAAUUUCAUACAUCUAAACCUAACAUUCAGACAGAGCCCUGCAGCCUAGUAGAGGAAAUUACAAAAACUAUACAAAAUAAAAUAUUACCAAUUAUGGAGGUGGUCUCGUCGAGCAGCGAAAGUGAUGCGCCGGCUGAUGUAGCUAGUCCCGAUUUAGCUAUUAUAGAGGAUGAUCUCAACUUGGAGGAAUUAAUGAAACAGAAAGCUCUUCUUCAAGCUCGAUUAGGUGCUUACAUGUCUGACACUGAAGGUGAUGACAGUCGUUCGCAGCGUGAAAUGGAACAUACUCUACCUGUGAAAUGUACUGAAAGUAGUGUAAGCAACAAAUACAGCAAGCGUAACGAACAUACCACCACUGCAAAUAGUAAACAUAAUUUAAAUAGAAUUUCUAAAGAUAAUGAAUCCGAUGUUAUAUUAUUGGAUGAUUCUAGCGGUGAUCGUUGCACACCGGAACGAUUUGACAGACAGCAGAACACUAUCAAGGUAAGGCAAAUGGACGAAAGUGGCGAGAAGAGAACAGCUCGUGAGACAUCACCGUUAUAUGUAGAUAGACUAACAGAUCGACAGGAUUCCGAUAGUCAUCAUCGUAGCUCAUGUACAGAACGGCAUGGACAUGGAACGGCGCGAAAUCGAAGUCGCACUCGAUCCCCGAUUAGAACAGAAAAUCUUGAUUCGUCCAAUCGAAGGCGUCAUGGUAAUUCUGAAGAUGAUCGUAGUCGCCAGCGGCAUCGUGAAAAAUAUGAUCAAAAUCGACAAAAAGAAGAUUUGAGGCAAGAAAUUAAUAGAGACAAGCAGAGGGAGCGGAAAAACAGUCGAGAACGGGACCGAAAAGGCCGUGAAGAACGACCGCGGCAGCAGGACCGAGGUACCCAACGUGUAAGAGAACGAGAACGCGUUCGAGACUUAAAUAGAGAACAUGAAAGGUGGAUGCGUGAACGUUCCCAUAGUCGGAGUAAGGCGGAAUCGGAUCAAAAACGGGAACGUGAACGCGAUCGAGAGAGAGAACGCACUCGUAUCGGCAAAAAUCGGGAUCGGGGAAACCGAAGUGAACGUGAACGUGAUCAUUAUCGUGGCUCUCUGAGUGAAGGGCAAAAUGCGCAACAAAAUGAAUCCACAAGUGAUGAAGACACCAACAUGGAUAUUGACAUUAAUGAAGAUGACGAUGACGAGGAAAAAAUAAUUGAAAUGAGGAGGAAACAACGUGAAGAGCUCUUGAAAAAACUGGGUGCAAGUAACAAUAAAACUACACCUUCUUACAGUGAUUUUCAAGAGCAAGGCUCAGCUGUUAAAGAUAUAAAGGAAGACUAUAGACUUUCUCAAGAUAGAAACGAUAAUGGUUGUCGACAAUCACACAGUUGUUCACCUGCAUCUUCUUCGACUUCAUAUCGGAAUCAUGCGGAGGAUGUUAUUUCUAUGGGAGAUCCCAAAGAACAACAACAGCGUCAGCAAUAUCAGAAAAAUGGAAAAGGAAACGCAAUCACUACCAAUAAUAAAGAGAAACGUGCUGAAUGGGAUAUGUUUGCUGACCAAGAUGUUGAUUCCAAUUUCGAUUCUCCGAACACAAUUGUGCAAAACAAACAGCUUGUGGAAAAUCCUGCUCUCACCGACAACUGGGACGAUGCCGAAGGUUACUAUAGAGUUCGUAUUGGGGAAGUUUUGGAUAAUCGCUAUGUGGUUUCGGGUUACACUGGGCAAGGUGUAUUUAGUAACGUGGUGCGUGCUCGCGAUCAAGCUAGAGGUAAUGCCAACGUGGCCGUGAAGAUUAUACGUAAUAAUGAAAUCAUGCACAAAACUGGUCUACGUGAAUUGGAAAUUCUGAAGAAAUUAAACGAUGCUGAUCCUGACGAUCGGUUUCAUUGUCUUCGCCUGUAUCGUCAUUUUUUUCACAAACAGCAUCUAUGCAUGGUUUUCGAGCCUCUGUCUAUGAAUCUACGUGAAGUCUUAAAGAAGUACGGGAAAAAUGUAGGCCUUCACAUUAAAGCCGUGCGUAGUUAUACGCAACAAUUGUUUUUGGCAUUAAAACUUCUUAAGAAAACGGGCAUUCUCCAUGCCGACAUCAAACCCGACAACAUUUUAGUUAAUGAGAGUAAUUUGAUCUUGAAAUUGUGCGAUUUUGGUUCUGCUUCAACCAUAAAUGACAACGAAAUUACUCCUUACUUAAUAUCUAGAUUUUAUCGUGCGCCUGAAAUUAUUUUGGGUAUACCUUACGACUAUGGUAUAGAUAUGUGGUCGGCUGGUUGCACAAUAUAUGAAUUGUAUACUGGCAAAAUAUUAUUUAGCGGAAAAAGCAAUAACCAAAUGUUAAAGUUCUUUAUGGAUUUGAAAGGUAAAAUUCCAAAUCGCAUCGUUCGUAAAGGUCAAUUUAGAGAUCAACAUUUUGAUCAGAGUUGCAACUUUUUAUAUCACGAAAUUGACAAAGUUACCGAGAGGGAGAAAGUCGUUGUUAUGUCUGUCAUAAAACCAAUGCGAAACUUACAGCAAGAAUUGAUAGCCGAUCAAAAUUUGCCGGAUGACCAACAUCGUAAAGUUACCCAGCUGAAGGAUUUACUCGACAACAUCUUCGCCUUAGAUCCGUCAAAACGUAUCUCAUUGAAUCAGGCGCUAACGCAUCCCUUUAUACAGGAGAAAAUGUAAUGCCUCAGUGAUGAAAUGGGAAAAACGCUGUUCAGCUCAGCCUAAACAUAUUAAAUAGAAAUAUGAAAUGGGUUUAGCGAUCGUCCAACCUAGGCGUAAAAGAAGUUUUUUCGAGCAAUUAAUCCUGAAGGCUCGCUCGGGUAAUAAUUUGGAAAAAAAAAACAUUUCCCUCUUUUUCUUGCCUUAACAGUUUCGCAUACUGAAAUUAACGUCAUUCGUUUUGUAUAGAUAUUAAUUAUAUUGCGCUGUUUUUGUAAGGUGGUUGGUUAUUGGUAAAAGUGAAAUUGUUUUUUGUUGUUUUUUUAAUAUGUGUUCUUGAUAUACGUAAGUUACGACUGUUUCAUCAUAUCGCUGCUAUGUACUGAUAUUGUUUUUAUUUUUCAUGUCAGGUGGAGAUGUACGAGGAACCUGUUCAAGCGAGUUUUCCGCUAUGUAAGAAUCCGAAUGCAAAAUCAAGCGUUUCUAGGUAGAGUAAUUAUUUCAAAUUUGUUUAUUUAUUCAACAAAAUAUUUCUUUCUGUCGCAUGAUACUAUCUAGACUUCCUUAUAUAGCUAGCUAGAGGGCGAAAAUUUCCAUUGGCUUUGCAAGUCGUUAAAAUGUGGUUGCGUUUAAAAAUGCAAUCGUCACUCCAUUAUAAUUUACCGAUCAAGUUUAUUUAUUUACAUCUCUUUCUUUCUUUCUAAAAAAAUUUUUUCAAAGCGUACGAAUAAUAAUAUAUUUAAAGGAGUUUUGUCUUUCAUUUUUAAUAAUGUAUGGUUUUUGUAUUCAUCGCAAACGCCUCGGAGCGGACAUCGAUCUCAAAUAUUUACGAGAAUCGCAUUCACAUUAUAUGUAGUAAGUUUUAUGCUACUGGAGGAAAAGUAUCCGCAAUCGCAAUUAGGUAAAGAAUCGAUCUCUCGUGAUAGCUUCGUCGAUUAGCCCGAUCGUAAAUCCAGUAGAGCAAACUUCAAAUAAAUUAUUUAAUCACUUAACUGUGUCAACCUCCUCAGCGAUAUACACGCACAGAGCAUGUGUAACAUGAAACUAGGUUGUCA